CGGGGUGUGGCGCAAUGGUUAGCGCGCUGGCUUUGGGAGCCAGAGGUUGCGGGUUCGAGUCCCGCCACCCCGA
rnacentral:tRNA from 1 species